rnacentral:rRNA from 1 species
GAUGAACGCUAGCGGCAGGCUUAACACAUGCAAGUCGAGGGGCAGCGCGGGAUAGCAAUAUCCUGGCGGCGACCGGCGGAAGGGUGCGUAACGCGUGAGCGACAUGCCCGUUGCCCGGGGACAACCGGUGGAAACGCCGACUAAUCCCCGAUGGGAUAUUGUGCCGCAUGGCACGAUAUUGAAAGUUACGGCGGCGACGGAUUGGCUCGCGUCCGAUUAGCUGGUUGGCGGGGUAACGGCCCACCAAGGCUGCGAUCGGUAGGGGUUCUGAGAGGAAGGCCCCCCACAAUGGGACUGAGACACGGCCCAUACUCCUACGGGAGGCAGCAGUGAGGAAGAUUGGUCAAGGGGCGGAAGCCUGAACCAGCCAUGCCGCGUGCGGGAAGGAGGCCCUAUGGGCUGUGAACCGCUUUUGCCUGGGGGCAAUAAGGGCGUCGCGCACGUCCGAUGAGAGUACCAGGCGAAUAAGCAUCGGCUAACUCCGUG